AAUGAACGUUGGCGGCGUGGAUUAGGCAUGCAAGUCGAGCGAGAACCCAGCAAUGGGGGACAGCGGCGCAAGGGACAGUAAUGUGUAGAUUAUCUGCCCUCGGGUCCGGGAUAGCUGCGGGAAACUGCAGGUAAUACCGGAUAACAUCUCCGGAUCAAAGGUGUGAUUCCGCCCGAGGAUGAGUCUACAUCCUAUUAGCUAGUUGGCAGGGUAAUGGCCUACCAAGGCGAUGAUGGGUAGCGGGUGUGAGAGCACGACCCGCGUCAUUGGGACUGAGACACUGCCCAGACACCUACGGGUGGCUACAGUCGAGAAUCUUCGGCAAUGGGCGCAAGCCUGACCGAGCGACGCCGCGUGUGGGAUGAAGGCCUUCGGGUUGCAAACCACUGUCAGAGGGGAUGAAAUGCAGGUGGGUUCUCCCAUCUGUUUGACAUAGCCUCAGAGGAAGGACGGGCUAAGUUCGUGCCAGCCGCCGCAGUAACAC
rnacentral:rRNA from 1 species